GUUAUUUUCCGUGAAAUAAAUUGGAGCCUUAAAGACAAUCAAGUUGCUUUUCAUCGCUAACAAAAGAACAACAGGCAACGAGCAAAACCAUCGCUCAAAGCCCAAAAACCCGCCCCCUAAUGAUAACGAGCAAGGGCUAGGUGCCCGUAGGCCGUCGUUGCCUGUUCGUUGGCUGCUAAAGAAG